rnacentral:rRNA from 1 species
AUUGAACGCUGGCGGCAUGCCUUACACAUGCAAGUCGAACGGCAGCACGGGAGCUUGCUCCUGGUGGCGAGUGGCGAACGGGUGAGUAAUGCAUCGGAACGUGCCCUGAAGUGGGGGAUAACGUAGCGAAAGUUACGCUAAUACCGCAUAUUCUGUGAGCAGGAAAGCAGGGGAUCUUCGGACUUUGCGCUUUUGGAGCGGCCGAUGUCGGAUUAGCUAGUUGGUGGGGUAAAGGCCCACCAAGGCGACGAUCCGUAGCGGGUCUGAGAGGAUGAUCCGCCACACUGGAACUGAGACACGGUCCAGACUCCUACGGGAGGCAGCAGUGGGGAAUUUUGGACAAUGGGGGCAACCCUGAUCCAGCCAUGCCGCGUGAAGGAUUAAGGCCCUAUGGGUUGUAAACUUCUUUAUAAGGGAAAAACCUCUCUACGUGUAGAGAGCUGAUGGUACUUUAUGAAUAAGGGUCGGCUAACUUCGUGCCAGCAGCCGCGGU